AGCAGCCGCGGUAAUUCCAGCUCCAAUAGCGUAUAUUAAAGUUGUUGCAGUUAAAAAGCUCGUAGUUGAAUUUCGGGAUCAAUUCGUCGGUCGUGCUUUCGGGUACGUACUGGUGUUUAUUGGUUUCUCCCUUCUGACGAACCAUGAUGUCAUUAAUUUGGUGUUAUGGGGAGUUAGGACUGUUACUUUGAAAAAAUUGAGUGUUUAAAGCAGGCAUUAGCUUGAAUACAUUAGCAUGGAAUAAUGAAAUAGGACGUUCGAUCCUAUUUUGUUGGCUUNUAGGAUCAACGUAAUGAUUAAUAGGGAUAGUUGGGGGCAUUAGUAUUCAAUUGUCAGAGGUNAAAUUCUUGGAUUUAUUGAAGACCUAACUACUGCGAAAGCAUUUGCCAAGGAUGUUUUCAUUAAUC
rnacentral:rRNA from 1 species